AAGUUUUAUUCUUGCUUUAUUUGUUCAGUAUGUGCUUGUUUUAUAUGUAAGUUUGUGCGUGAGUUUAUGUUGAGGAUUUAAAUAGUCUUUGCUUUAUAUUGUUAAUUAAUUCUCAUUAGUUAUUAUUGGUUGAUCAAGUAUUCUUGUAAUUAGCAAUGCAUAUAGUUUCGGUUAAAUUUUGUGCCAGCAGCCGCGGUUAUACCUUGGAAGCGUUUGAAUGUGUUCGGCAUAAGGUAGUUGUAUUAAUUAAUUUUAUUGAUUUAAUUUUUAUUAUUGUUAGGUGGAAUUUUUAUUGUUGUUAAUUUCUUUUAUUUAUUUGGAGACUAUGAAAUUCCUUUAUUAAACUAGGAUUAGAUACCCUAUUAUUUUGGAAUGUUAAUUAUUUUAUGUGCUUGAGUAGUAUUAGUUAUGUUCUUGAAACUUAAAGAAUUUGGCGGUAUCUCAUUCCGUCCAGAGGAAUCUGUCUCGUUAUCGAUAGUCCACGUUGGACCUUACUUAGUUGAUUUGGUUUGUAUACCGCCGUUUAUUGAUUAUCUUUUUAGAGUUUAUUAAUUUUCUAGUUUCUUUAUUUUGAUUUAUUUCAGGUCAAGGUGCAGCUUGUUUCUAAGUGAAUGAUGGAUUACAUUGUUAUUUGUUUAUGGAUUAUUUGGUUUAAAUAUUGAUAUGAAAUUGGAUUUGGUUGUAAUUAUUUGUAGACUGUUAUUAUGAUAAAAGGUUCUGAGAUAUGCACACAUCGCCCGUCGCUCUCGUUUAUUGUUAAUGAGAUAAGUCGUAACAAAGUGGUUGUACCGGAAGGUGUAGCUGGAUUG
rnacentral:ncRNA from 1 species